rnacentral:rRNA from 1 species
CGGUCGCGUAACACGUAAGCAACCUGCCCCAAAGACCGGGACAACGUUCCGAAAGGAGCGCUAAUACCGGAUGUGCCCGUCGGGUGACAUCGCCUGACGAGUAAAUCGAGCAAUCGGCUUUGGGAGGGGCUUGCGGCCUAUCAGCUAGAUGGUGGGGUAACGGCCUACCAUGGCGACGACGGGUAGCUGGUCUGAGAGGGCGACCGGCCACACUGGAACUGAGACACGGUCCAG